rnacentral:pre_miRNA from 1 species
GUAGUCGUAUUCACAUUAAUCUACAUGUGUUGAGGUGGAUUGGAGUGGAACUUGAACUAAAUUCCACCCCAAUCCACACCAACACACAUGGAUUGAAGUGAAUACGACA